GGGAGGAAGUGUGCGGCCCUCUCAUCUUGUCCCCAGAUGCUCACGGUUCCACGGAAACCGGGAAAGGCAGCCUCCGCAUUAUGCUUCCUGUGUUUCAUUUUGCGGGAGCUGCCGGGUGUGGAGGAGUGACUCUCAAAAGGAAGCUGGGCUGUCCGGGGUUUCUGUCCGCGGGGUGGUCUGCACAGGUGUCCCUGCUCCCUGCUCUGCCUGGCCCCUAAGGCCCGCGAAACCGGGCAGGAGGGCCGGGCGGUGUGGGAAUGUUGAGUGGCCCACGGCUGGGCGGUCCUCAGCUGCUGGUUAAGGCGUGGAGCUGAGAAGACAGGCGAUGAUACUCUUUUGAAAUAAAUCCGCAUUCUGGGCACUGACAGGAAGCCAGGUCUGCGGGAAUUGCAGAGAGAGGCCGAGGAAAGAUCAAACCGCAGAAGGUCAGGUCCCACCAAGGUUUCGGGCAGAAUGAAGUAGGCUUUUCACUGAGGCGUGCAGGCGGCUGGGGGAAGGCAUCAAAGGAGAUGAUCUGUUCACAGCUCGCUCAUUCCGAUGUGGCCCGCAUCUCCGAGUCCACCCAGAGAACAUCAAGAGGAAGGGUGAAACUUCACUGCAAGAGAAAUUGUGAACGAAGGAAGCAGACUGCUAGAGCAUUAAGGAGAAGACAGAUGACUGUUUCUGCAAGUCAAACCCUCACCAUUGGCUGAGGUGCCUCGCCCCACCCUCCAAGUCCCUGCUAACCUCAUUCUUGUUCAGGCUAUGGUUUCCCCAUCCUGCCAUCUCCAGUGUAAGGCUCACACAGCCCCCUAGAUAGCUGGCUCACAGGACCCUCCAUUCACCCUCUCUUGCUGUUCUGCCACGGGCUCCUGUGACCCAUGGCACAUGGUGGAGAGGGAUUUCCUCACCCUGCACCUCCCUUCCCUUUGUUCUCUCUUGGUGGAAAUACUGCCUGCCCUCUCACAUUCAAAAUUUGAAGCCUCUUUGGUUUUUAGAAUUGCUUUGGAAUCUUGGGUUGAUUUUUAAGAGAUGUAUUUAUUUAUCUGAGAGGCAGAUUUACAGAGAGAGAGAGAGAGAGAGAGAGAGAGAGUUCUUCCAUCUGGUGGUUCACUCUUGGGUUGAUGUUUAGGACUUGAAUGUUUCAAAUGAGUAAUCUAUUGCUUCUCACUACUUCUUUUUACUUUCCAUUCCCUGAGUAAUUCUUUUUAAAGAUUUAUUUUAUUUAUUUGAAAGACAGAGUUACAGAGAGAGGUAGAGCCAGAGAGAGAGAGCUUCCA
rnacentral:lncRNA from 1 species